AGAGUUUGAUCCUGGCUCAGGAUGAACGCUGGCGGCGUGCCUAAUACAUGCAAGUCGAGCGGUAAGGUUCUGCACUUAGUAUUUGAUCUGGGAAAGUCUGUUUACAGAUACUACCCCGAUGACGAUAAGCUCCAAGGCUGGAGAUUAUCAAUCGAAUCCUGAGUGUAGAAUACACGAGCGGCGGACGGCUGAGUAACACGUAGGAACGUACCCCAAAGUGAGGGAUAAGCACCAGAAAUGGUGUCUAAUACCGCAUGUGGCCUUCGGGCUAAAGCUCCGGCGCUUUGGGAACGGCCUGCGUAAGAUUAGCUAGUUGGUGAGGUAAUAGCUCACCAAGGCGACGAUCUUUAGCUGGUCUGAGAGGAUGAUCAGCCAGACUGGGACUGAGAACGGCCCAGACUCCUACGGGAGGCAGCAGUAGGGAAUUUUCCACAAUGGGCGAAAGCCUGAUGGAGCAACGCCGCGUGCAGGAUGAAUGUCUUCGGAUUGUAAACUGCUUUUAUCUGUGACGAAUAUGACGGUAGCAGAUGAAUAAGGACCUGCUAACUACGUGCCAGCAGCCGCGGUCAUACGUAGGGUCCAAGCGUUAUCCGGAAUUACUGGGCGUAAAGAGUUGCGUAGGUGGCAAAGUAAGCGAAUAGUGAAAUGAUACGGCUCAACCGUAUGCCCAUUAUUUGAACUGCUUAGCUAGAGAAUGAGAGAGGUUAUUGGAAUUCCCUGUGUAGGAGUGAAAUCCGUAGAUAUAGGGAGGAACACCGAUGGCGUAGGCAGAUAACUGGCUCAUUUCUGACACUAAGGCACGAAAGCGUGGGGAGCAAACGGGAUUAGAUACCCUGGUAGUCC
rnacentral:rRNA from 1 species